GUACACUCCUGCGGGAGGCAGCAGUGGGGAAUUUUGGACAAUGGGCGAAAGCCUGAUCCAGCAAUGCCGCGUGAGUGAAGAAGGCCUUCGGGUUGUAAAGCUCUUUUGUCAGGGAAGAAACGGUGAAAGCUAAUAUCUUUUGCUAAUGACGGUACCUGAAGAAUAAGCACCGGCUAACUACGUGCCAGCAGCCGCGGUAAUACGUAGGGUGCAAGCGUUAAUCGGAAUUACUGGGCGUAAAGCGUGCGCAGGCGGUUUUGUAAGUCUGAUGUGAAAUCCCCGGGCUCGACCUGGGAAUUGCAGUGGAGACUGCAAGGCUAGAAUCUGGCAGAGGGGGGUAGAAUUCCACGUGUAGCAGUGAAAUGCGUAGAUAUGUGGAGGAACACCGAUGGCGAAGGCAGCCCCCUGGGUCAAGAUUGACGCUCAUGCACGAAAGCGUGGGGAGCAAACGGGAUUAGAAACCCCUGUAGUCCCA
rnacentral:rRNA from 1 species